rnacentral:rRNA from 1 species
GAGUUUGAUCAUGGCUCAGAUUGAACGCUGGCGGCAGGCCUAACACAUGCAAGUCGAGCGGCAGCGCGGGGCAACCUGGCGGCGAGCGGCGGACGGGUGAGUAACGCGUAGGAAUCUACCCAGUAGCGGGGGAUAGCCCGGGGAAACUCGGAUUAAUACCGCAUACGCCCUAAGGGGGAAAGCAGGGGAUCGUAAGACCUUGCACUAUUGGAAGAGCCUGCGUUGGAUUAGCUAGUUGGUAGGGUAAAGGCCUACCAAGGCGACGAUCCAUAACUGGUCUGAGAGGAUGAUCAGUCACACCGGAACUGAGACACGGUCCGGACUCCUACGGGAGGCAGCAGUGGGGAAUAUUGGACAAUGGGGGCAACCCUGAUCCAGCCAUGCCGCGUGUGUGAAGAAGGCCUUC